AUUGAACGCUGGCGGCAGGCCUAACACAUGCAAGUCGAACGGUAACAGGAAGCAGCUUGCUGCUUCGCUGACGAGUGGCGGACGGGUGAGUAAUGUCUGGGAAGCUGCCUGAUGGAGGGGGAUAACUACUGGAAACGGUAGCUAAUACCGCAUAAUGUCGCAAGACCAAAGAGGGGGACCUUCGGGCCUCUUGCCAUCGGAUGUGCCCAGAGGGGAUUAGCUUGUUGGUGGGGUAACGGCUCACCAAGGCGACGAUCCCUAGCUGGUCUGAGAGGAUGACAAGCCACACUGGAACUGAGACACGGUCCAGACUCCUACGGGAGGCAGCAGUGGGGAAUAUUGCACAAUGGGCGCAAGCCUGAUGCAGCCAUGCCGCGUGUAUGAAGAAGGCCUUCGGGUUGUAAAGUACUUUCAGCGGGGAGGAAGGGAGUAAAGUUAAUACCUUUGCUCAUUGACGUUACCCGCAGAAGAAGCACCGGCUAACUCCGU
rnacentral:rRNA from 1 species